GCUGUAGCUCAGGGGCUGUACACCUGCCUUGCAUGCAGAAGGUCCCAGGUUCAAAACCUGGCAUCUCCA